rnacentral:lncRNA from 1 species
GAUUUAUAAGCCAAAAUAUAUAUCCAUACUGUGUCUUUUAAUAAUUCUUAAGUAAAGCCUUGAUUAUUUCUUUUAUCAUAGCUUCUAAUGAAAUACAGCCACUUCCUUCUGGAUCCAGAAUCUCUGAUGCUCCAAAAAGUCCGUUGACAGAACUUGUCUUGGAACCUAUUACACGUAGAAUUGAACCACCAAGGUCAACGAUAGCUCCAAAGGAGACUCGACGUAUCCCUUCUAAACCUAAAACUUCACCUAAACCUCAUAUCCCAC